UACGUAGGGUGCGAGCGUUAUUCGGAAUUACUGGGCGUAAAGCGUGCGCAGGCGGCUGUGCAAGUCGGGUGUGAAAGCCCCGAGCUUAACUUGGGAACUGCGCUCGAAACUACGUGGCUGGAGUGUGGCAGAGGAAGGUGGAAUUCCAGGUGUAGCGGUGAAAUGCGUAGAGAUCUGGAGGAACACCGAUGGCGAAGGCAGCCUGCUGGGCCAACACUGACGCUCAUGCACGAAAGCGUGGGGAGCAAACAGG
rnacentral:rRNA from 1 species